UUGUCUUCUUCACCGCACCCCUAAAAUUGACACAACACACACGACCCACCCCAUCUAAAAAAGCUUCAAACGUUCCUCUCUUCAUCUUACUGAUUCAAUACCACCUUAACCACUCUUCAAAAACGACCCCAUCUCUGCCAGCUAUUCAACCAAAAAACCACCGGAACACCAACCAAACAGACCCGUCUCCAGCCGCCUUCACCAAGUCUCACCGAAAAUGGCGACCAACAGUGAUGAAGAGCCAUGAACAUGACUAAAACCUUCAGAUCUGCUUAAUCAUCCGAGUUUUCUGGCAAGGCGUUUGGGUUUUCGAGUCGAGGUUCUAGCCGCCGGUUCGGGGUAUGGUUUGAGGCCCGAUUCAGUUGUUGCUCAUGUUUGUUUUCGUCGUCGGGUCUUGCACACAGUCAGUUUAAACCUAUCAUUGUAGUCACUGAUUUUACUCAUUUAAAAGAAGCCAUCUCAGGCUAUGUUGGAAUUGCUGGAAAGAUAUUAUCUAGUUUCAUCCUGUAAAAUUUGAGCUUCCAUUGAGGUCAUAGUUUCAAUUAGAUUCUAUCAUGAUUUUGUUAGUCAUUUAUUCUCUUGGGUGUUGUAUGUUGUUUUCUCUAAUAUAAGCUCAAUGUUUAGUGGUGAAUUGUCAAGUUGAAAUACCAUUUAUUAGCAAUAUAUAUCCUGUUAGCUUUCAUUGUUAGAUUAAUAA